UACGGGGGGGGUAAGCGUUGUUCGGAAUUACUGGGCGUAAAGGGCUCGUAGGCGGCCAACUAAGUCAGACGUGAAAUCCCUCGGCUUAACCGGGGAACUGCGUCUGAUACUGGAUGGCUUGAGAUUGGGAGAGGGAUGCGGAAUUCCCGGUGUAGUGGUGAAAUGCGUAGAUAUCGGGAGGAACACCAGUGGCGAAGGCGACUUCCUGGCCUGUUCUUGACGCUGAGGCGCGAAAGCUAGGGUAGCAAACGGG
rnacentral:rRNA from 1 species